rnacentral:rRNA from 1 species
GAUGAACGCUGGGGCGUGCCUAAUACAUGCAAGUCGAGCGCACGGACGAGAAGCUUGCUUCUCUGAUGUUAGCGGCGGACGGGUGAGUAACACGUGGAUAACCUACCUAUAAGGCUGGGAUAACUUCGGGAAACCGGAGCUAAUACCGGAUAAUAUUUUGAACCGCAUGGUUCAAAAGUGAAAGACGGUCUUGCUGUCACUUAUAGAUGGAUCCGCGCUGCAUUAGCUAGUUGGUAAGGUAACGGCUUACCAAGGCAACGAUGCAUAGCCGACCUGAGAGGGUGAUCGGCCACACUGGAACUGAGACACGGUCCAGACUCCUACGGGAGGCAGCAGUAGGGAAUCUUCCGCAAUGGGCGAAAGCCUGACGGAGCAACGCCGCGUGAGUGAUGAAGGUCUUCGGAUCGUAAAACUCUGUUAUUAGGGAAGAACAUAUGUGUAAGUAACUGUGCACAUCUUGACGGUACCUAAUCAGAAAGCCACGGCUAACUACGUG